UGUUUGCACUUAGCGGGAAGGGUAAGAACCUUGACUCGAGCGCCAGCGAGAGAACGUUGCCGCAGGCAACGGCCCGAAGGGCGAGGAGAGAUAGCGACGAGUUAUCCUUCCCCCACCACCA
rnacentral:sRNA from 1 species